rnacentral:rRNA from 2 species
UAAUACGGAGGGAGCUAGCGUUGUUCGGAAUUACUGGGCGUAAAGCGCACGUAGGCGGCGAUUCAAGUCAGAGGUGAAAGCCCGGGGCUCAACCCCGGAACUGCCUUUGAAACUAGAUUGCUAGAAUCCUGGAGAGGUUAGUGGAAUUCCGAGUGUAGAGGUGAAAUUCGUAGAUAUUCGGAAGAACACCAGUGGCGAAGGCGACUAACUGGACAGGUAUUGACGCUGAGGUGCGAAAGCGUGGGGAGCAAACAGG